UUGGAAAGAAAAAAAAAAAAUUAGGAAGGCCCCUGGGGAAGGGAUAACCCCAAAAUUUGGAAAGGUUCCA
rnacentral:snRNA from 1 species